UUGAUAUUUGUGGACUACAUAACUAGACUUUUUGUGUGGACGAGUUAACUGGCAUUCAUUUUGAAUGAUUACAGUUGUUUUCGGUAAAUUUAAACUGUGGUACACUAUAUUGGUACUUGAAAAAAGGUGAAUUUAUUUCGUCUUUAUUUUUUUUUUCAGAGGUUGUAAAUUAAUAAUCCACCAGUGCGGUAUGUGAAAAAUGUGUCUAGACAAGAUGAUGGUGAGCUUGUGACCCGGAUGGAUGAAUGAUGGAAAGACAAAUAAUAAGUGCUGUAUACAGUAUUUGGUAUAAAUCAGUCAUUGAAAGUCAUUACAGCUGAAGAUUUUAAUGACGCUCUGUACCGGUACUAACAAUGUUGAUUACAGUCAAUGGAAGGUUAAUCAAACCUAUGAAUGUGGUCGAAUAAGGUGUGGAGUUGAUUAAUAGCAACAUUGAAUGUGGGUUGAAUAUGGUGUGUUAAAGAUGCAAGAAAACACACGAAAUGUGUAAACUGUAAUGGAUUAUAGCCUGGCGCUAUCCAAAUUACAAAACACCUGCCCUUGAGUCUAUGAAUAUUUAUUUUUUAUGGCACCCACAUUUUCAUGUCGCUGCCUCUGUCCGUCCAGAUGUACCUCCGGUGAAAUUUGUUUGUGGUCACAAUUAUCCGAUUUUAAUGAAAUUUAAAUGCAUAUUUAUAUUCAAAUCAUCUGGGAUCGGAUUCAUUUUGAACUCUAACCUCAUGGAUUAUGGCCCCUUAUAUUGUGGAAAAAUUGGGUUUUUAGCAUGUGAGCCCAUCCAGAGGAUUUUGGCAUAGAAUAUUACACCUGAUUGUACGAUCCAUUGUUUUUAACUUCUGGAUCCUCUAGAAUUCUCAGUUUUAUAUGCCAACAUUUCCCAUGCCCGAAUUAACCCUCUUUGCUGAAGAUUUGGCUUUCGAGUUCAGAGUUAUGCCCCAUAGCCAAAAACUUUGAAUUUGAUAGGAGUUACAGUUUUUAACCGAUCCUUUUCAGAUUUGGUGUAAAGCAUUGGAUUCAUGAGAUCGGAAACCCCAACGAUAUGCAGCGAUUCGAAGAUAACCUUUUCAAAAAAGCUUGUGAAUGUGAUGAGGCUACAAUGUUUUAAUUUGCCGUGUAGCAUUGGGACCAUGAGAGGACAAAUCCAAUAAAUAUCAGCAAUCCACACUUAACCCACUUUUUUGGAAAUUAUGUGAACGUGAUAAGGCUACAAUUUUUUUAACAGAUUUUUUUCUAAUUCUAUAUGAAACAUUGGGACAA